AUUGAACGCUAGCGGGAUGCUUUACACAUGCAAGUCGAACGAGUGGCGGACGUGUUAGUUCUAUAUCGGCCCGUGCCCAGUAGCGGAGGAUAACUACUCGAACGUGUGGCUAAUACCGCACAGUAUUGGCGAGGCCGCUAUCGGAUUAGCUAGUUGGUGGGGUAAAGGCUCACCAAGGCAACGAUCCGUAGCUGGUUUGAGAGGACGACCAGCCACACUGGGACUGAGACACGGCCCAGACUCCUACGGGAGGCAGCAGUGGGGAAUUUUGGACAAUGGGGGAAACCCUGAUCCAGCCAUCCCGCGUGUAUGAGAAGGCCUUCGGGUUGUAAAGUACUGUUGGCAGAGAAGCGGUAUCUGCAGAAUAAGCACCGGCUAACUACGUGCCAGCAGCCGCGGUAAUUC
rnacentral:rRNA from 1 species